GCCGGGAUAGCUCAGCUGGGAGAGCAACAGACUGAAUUCUGGAGGUCGCGUGUUCAAUCCACGCUCCUGGCA